rnacentral:rRNA from 1 species
UAGCGUAUAUUAAAGUUGUUGCAGUUAAAAAGCUCGUAGUUGGAUCUGAGGACUAGAGAUAAUGGUGCGAUAACUUCGUAACUGUUAUUUCUGCCUAAAAAGACGGUGCUUGGCUUUGGUGCUCUUAACUGAGUGCCUCUGCUGCCCGUCAAGUUUACUUUGAAAAAAUUAGAGUGCUCAAAGCAGGCGCUUUGCCUGAAUAGUGGUGCAUGGAAUAAUGGAAUAAGAUCUUCGGAUCUAUUUUGUUGGUUUUCGGAAGCCGAGAUAAUGAUUAAGAGAGACAGACGGGGGCAUUCGUAUUGUGGUGUU